UCAGCGUGUUCUGCCGCUCAGGAUUUUAUAUUCUGGGAGGAAAGUCGGGGCAAUACAGGGCGCCAUACUUCCUAACGGGAAGGUUCCGCAGCCGGCGGAAACAGAAAGUGCCACAGAAAAUUACCGCCCUGUCGUGAUUUUUCAUGACAAGGUAAGGGUGAAAACGUGGGGUAAGAGCCCACGGCUCAGGCUGGUGACAGCCUGCGCGGGUAAACCUUAUGGAUUGAAAGACCAAAUAUACCGGAAGGCGGGGCUGCAAAGCUUCGCAGAGGGCUGCCCGCUCUUUUCCGGGGGGUAGGUCGUUAGAACCUUAUGGCGACAUAAGGGAUAGAUAAAUGGCAGAAGUCCCGCAAUGCGGGAAACAGAACCCCGCUUACAACGCUGAACGG
rnacentral:RNase_P_RNA from 1 species